rnacentral:rRNA from 1 species
UACGUAGGCAGCAAGCGUUGUUCGGAGUUACUGGGCGUAAAGGGUGUGUAGGCGGUUUUCUAAGUCUGGUGUGAAAUCUCCCGGCUCAACUGGGAGGGUGUGCCGAAAACUGGAAGGCUAGAGUGCGGGAUGGGAGAGUGGAAUUCCUGGUGUAGCGGUGAAAUGCGUAGAUAUCAGGAGGAACACCUGUGGUGUAGACGGCUCUCUGGACCGCAACUGACGCUGAGACACGAAAGCGUGGGUAGCAAACAGG